rnacentral:lncRNA from 1 species
UUCUAUAAAAUAAAACUGAACAAUCUUUUUUAUUUGAGUACUUCCGUAGAAGAGGUAAUACAACUCUACCUAUAAAAUGUCUACACUCAGUCACAUUUCAGUUUGCUCCUCUGUAAUUAGCCUGUCUGCACUGUUAGUUGUAUCUUGUAUAGUUGUAUGUAUGUAGGAAUUAGGAUUGAUUAUUAGCUACUACCUGGUGUUGCUUCAACUCUCAACAAUUAUAAUUUUUGAGAUACCAUACGUCCAUACCGUCAUCAUGCCCACUUAGUUCAGUUACUCCUCUGACCUCCUUUUGUUUUGUUUUGUUUUUUUAACAAAUUGUCUCAUGUGUUGUGCUAUGCUCUUAACUCUAUUAUUAACAAAUAUUAUAUAAUGCAGUUAAAUAUUACUCUACUAGUUAUUCACCAUUUGACCUCACCCCUUCAUUCAUUCAACAUACUGUACUGUGUUUUUGAAAAUUCAAAUCAACAUACAGAGGUCACAACACACUUCUCUUAAUUAAUUCUUCUUGUUUCCUAAUCAAGUAUCCUAGCAAUUUAGCUUACAGUAUUGUUGAACAUGGCCACUUGCUAACUUGUAACUUAUAUUUUUUGUCAGGCCUGUUUGAUUAUUUAGUAGAGAAAAUGGGAUCUAUAGAAACCAACUAAAUUCUUGUUGUUGAUGAUGGACUGGUUCAGAGAAGGUGAUCAUGGACUCAUGGUGUUGAAGUGAAGUUCUUUGUUGAACAAGCAUAGAUUAUGUUCUGAUCCCCUGAACAAGCAGAAUGUGCUUUAUAACUUUAAUUGUUUUUAACUUUUGUGAGGCUUUUAUUGUGUGAAAUUUUAUGUCGCAAAACCGCCUAAACGGUUUAAUUGGGACUAAACAGCUUUAAUUUGUAAUUUUAUUAUGUGAUUUAGUAAUUUUUAUGUCAUUAAACAGUUUCUGAACUUCUGAUUAUGCUUAAAUUUUGUGAACUGUUA